rnacentral:tRNA from 1 species
GGGAGUACAGCUCAGUGGUAGAGUGUGUGUUUAGCAUGCAUGAGGUCCUGGGUUCAAUUCCCAGUACCUCCG